GCCGGCGGUGUGCCUAAUACAUGCAAGUCGAACGCGUUGGCCCAAUUGAUUGAUGGUGCUUGCACCUGAUUGAUUUUGGUCGCCAACGAGUGGCGGACGGGUGAGUAACACGUAGGUAACCUGCCCAGAAGCGGGGGACAACAUUUGGAAACAGAUGCUAAUACCGCAUAACAGCGUUGUUCGCAUGAACAACGCUUAAAAGAUGGCUUCUCGCUAUCACUUCUGGAUGGACCUGCGGUGCAUUAGCUUGUUGGUGGGGUAACGGCCUACCAAGGCGAUGAUGCAUAGCCGAGUUGAGAGACUGAUCGGCCACAAUGGGACUGAGACACGGCCCAUACUCCUACGGGAGGCAGCAGUAGGGAAUCUUCCACAAUGGGCGCAAGCCUGAUGGAGCAACACCGCGUGAGUGAAGAAGGGUUUCGGCUCGUAAAGCUCUGUUGUUAAAGAAGAACACGUAUGAGAGUAACUGUUCAUACGUUGACGGUAUUUAACCAGAAAGUCACGGCUAACUACGUGCCAGCAGCCGCGGUAAUACGUAGGUGGCAAGCGUUAUCCGGAUUUAUUGGGCGUAAAG
rnacentral:rRNA from 2 species